GCCGCCAGCUCAGUCGGUAGAGCAUGAGACUCUUAAUCUCAGGGUCGUGGGUUCAAGCCCCAUGUUGGGCA
rnacentral:tRNA from 1 species